rnacentral:rRNA from 1 species
CCUACGGGCGACUGCAGUGAGGAAUAUUGGUCAAUGGGCGCAAGGCUGAACCAGCCAAGUCGCGUGAAGGAAGACGGUCCUAUGGUUUGUAAACCUCUUUUAUCGGGGAGUAAAGGUAUCCACGUGUGGAGUUUCGCAUGUACCCUAUGAAUAAGCAUCGGCUAACUCCGUGCCAGCAGCCGCGGUAAUACGGAGGAUGCGAGCGUUAUCCGGAUUUAUUGGGUUUAAAGGGUGCGUAGGUGGUAUUUUAAGUCAGCGGUGAAAGUUUGUGGCUCAACCAUCAAGGUGCCGUUGAAACUGGUAGACUUGAGUGUGUUUGAGGUAUGCGGAAUGCGUGGUGUAGCGGUGAAAUGCAUAGAUAUCACGCAGAACUCCGAUUGCGAAGGCAGCAUACUAAGCCAUAACUGACACUGAUGCACGAAAGUGUGGGGAUCGAACAGGAUUAGAUACCCUAGUAGUC